UGAGAAUAUCGGCUCCAAAUAGAGCCAAGACCUCUGACACAGAGCCCAUUCUUCCAACACAUCCUAUCAUAUACAGAUAAAAUUUUGCAAAAUUAAAAGGAAAUCUCUACUAAAUUUUAUGCUAUCAAGCUACUUCAGCAACUUUACUGAUGGCCUCUAUGUGAUUCUGUAGUCCCAUCUCAAGACACUUUGAGAAUGUGAGGUUCGACUUUGGAAAUAUC